rnacentral:rRNA from 1 species
UACGUAGGGGGCUAGCGUUGUCCGGAUUUAUUGGGCGUAAAGAGCGUGUAGGCGGCCAGGUAGGUCUGCUGUGAAAACCUCGAGGCUUAACCUCGAGAUGUCGGCGGAAACCAUCUGGCUAGGAGUCCGGAAGAGGAGAGUGGAAUUCCUGGAUGUAGCGGUGAAAUGCGCAGAUAUCAGGAAGAACACCCGCUGGCGAAGGCGGCUCUCUGGGACGGUACUGGACGCUGAGACGCGAAAGCGUGGGGAGCGAACAGG